rnacentral:rRNA from 1 species
UACAGAGGGUGCGAGCGUUGACCGGAAUUACUGGGCGUAAAGCGUGCGUAGGCGGUUCUUUAAGUCGGGUGUGAAAGCCCCGGGCUCAACCUGGGAAUUGCAUUCGAGACUGUAUAGCUAGGGUACGGUAGAGGGAAGCGGAAUUUCCGGUGUAGCGGUGAAAUGCGUAGAUAUCGGAAGGAACAUCAGUGGCGAAAGCGACUUCCUGGACCAAUACUGACGCUCAGGUGCGAAAGCGUGGGGAGCAAACAGG